rnacentral:rRNA from 1 species
GACGAACGCUGGCGGCGUGCUUAACACAUGCAAGUCGAACGAUGACGACCGAGCUUGCUCGGUCUGAUUAGUGGCGAACGGGUGAGUAACACGUGAGCAACCUGCCCUUCACUCUGGGAUAACCUCGGGAAAUCGGGGCUAAUACCGGAUAUGAGCUCCUGUCGCAUGGCGGGUGUUGGAAAGUUUUUCGGUGAAGGAUGGGCUCGCGGCCUAUCAGUUUGUUGGUGAGGUAGUGGCUCACCAAGGCGAUGACGGGUAGCCGGCCUGAGAGGGCGACCGGCCACACUGGGACUGAGACACGGCCCAGACUCCUACGGGAGGCAGCAGUGGGGAAUAGUGCACAAUGGGCGAAAGCCUGAUGCAGCGACGCCGCGUGAGGGAUGACGGCCUUCGGGUUGUAAACCUCUUUCAGCAGGGAAGAAGCGAAAGUGACGGUACCUGCAGAAGAAGCGCCGGCUAACUACG